GAUGAACGCUGGCGGCGUGCCUAAUACAUGCAAGUCGAGCGAACAGACGAGGAGCUUGCUCCUCUGACGUUAGCGGCGGACGGGUGAGUAACACGUGGAUAACCUACCUAUAAGGCUGGGAUAACUUCGGGAAACCGGAGCUAAUACCGGAUAAUAUAUUGAACCGCAUGGUUCAAUAGUGAAAGACGGUUUUGCUGUCACUUAUAGAUGGAUCCGCGCCGCAUUAGCUAGUUGGUAAGGUAACGGCUUACCAAGGCAACGAUGCGUAGCCGACCUGAGAGGGGGCUCGGCACCCAGGGACAUGAGCAAGGGGCCAGACCCCUAGGGGGGGCAGCAGGGGGAAAUUUUCCGAAAGGGGGGAAAGCCUGCGGGAGCAACGCCGGGGGAGUGAAGAAGGUUUUCGGAUCGUAAAACUCUGUUAUUGGGGAAAAAAAAAAGUGAAAGAAACUAGGCCCCUCUUGCGGGUACCAAAUCAAAAAGCCCCGGCUAACUACGU
rnacentral:rRNA from 1 species